AUUGAACGCUGGCGGCAGGCCUAACACAUGCAAGUCGCGCGAGCGGCGGACGGGUGAGUAAUGUAUGGGGACUGCCCGAUAGAGGGGGAUAACUACUGGAAACGGUAGCUAAUAACGCAUCCUAUCGGAUAACCCAUAUGUGAUUAGCUAGUAGGUGAGUUAAUGGAUCACCUAGGCGACGAUCCCUAGCUGGUCUGAGAGGAUCAUCAGCAACACUGGGACUGAGACGCGUCCCAGACUCCUACGGAGUCAGCAGUGGGGAAUAUUGCACAAUGGGCGCAAGCCUGAUGCAGCCAUGCCGAGUGUAUGAAGAAGGCCCGAGGGUGGUAAAGUCCUUGCAGUCGGGAGGCGUUACCGACAGAAGAAGAACCGGCUAACUCCGUGCCAGAAGCCGAGGUAAUUC
rnacentral:rRNA from 1 species